rnacentral:tRNA from 1 species
GGGCUUGUAGCUCAGUUGGUUAGAGCGCUACCUUGACACGGUAGAGGUCGCAGAUUCGAGUUCUGCCAAGCCCACCA